CCUACGGGUGGCAGCAGUGGGGCAUAUUGGACAAUGGGGGAAACCCUGAUCCAGCGACGCCGCGUGAGUGAAGAAGUAUUUCGGUACGUAAAGCUCUAUCAGCAGGAAAGAAAAUGACGGUACCUGACUAAGAAGCCCCGGCUAACUACGUACCAGCAGCCGCGGUAAUACGUAGGGGGCAAGCGUUAUCCGGAUUUACUGGGUGGAAAGGGGGCGUAGACGGCAGCGCAAGUCUGGAGUGAAAUGCCGGGGCCCAACCCCGGAACUGCUCUGGAAACUGGUAAGCUGGAGUGCAGGAGAGGUAAGUGGAAUUCCCGGUGUAGCGGUGGAAUGCGUAGAUAUCGGGAGGAACACCAGAGGCGAAGGCGACUUACUGGACUGUAACUGACGCUGAGGCUCGAAAGCGUGGGGAGCAAACAGGAUUAGAUACCCCAGUAGUC
rnacentral:rRNA from 1 species